GUCGAGAAUCUUUCACAAUGGGGGCAACCCUGAUGGAGCGACGCCGCGUGGAGGAUAAGGUCUUCGGAUUGUAAACUCCUGUCAUGCGUGAACAAGGUUGCUUGGUUAAUACCUGGGCAAAUUGAUGGUAACGCAAGAGGAAGAGACGGCUAACUCUGUGCCAGCAGCCGCGGUAAUACAGAGGUCUCAAGCGUUGUUCGGAAUCACUGGGCGUAAAGGGUGCGUAGGUGGCGUGGUAAGUCAGAUGUGAAAGCCCGGGGCUCAACCUCGGAACUGCAUCCGAUACUGCCAUGCUAGAGUACUGGAGAGGUGACUAGAAUUCUCGGUGUAGCUGUGAAAUGCGUAGAUAUCGAGAGGAAUACCAAAGGCGUAGGCAGGUCACUGGACAGUUACUGACACUGAGGCACGAAGGCCAGGGGAGCGAACGGGAUUAGAAACCCUGGUAGUCC
rnacentral:rRNA from 1 species